rnacentral:rRNA from 1 species
GACGAACGCUGGCGGCGUGCUUAACACAUGCAAGUCGAACGGAAAGGCCCUGCUUUUGUGGGGUGCUCGAGUGGCGAACGGGUGAGUAACACGUGAGUAACCUGCCCUUGACUUUGGGAUAACUUCAGGAAACUGGGGCUAAUACCGGAUAGGAGCUCCUGCUGCAUGGUGGGGGUUGGAAAGUUUCGGCGGUUGGGGAUGGACUCGCGGCUUAUCAGCUUGUUGGUGGGGUAGUGGCUUACCAAGGCUUUGACGGGUAGCCGGCCUGAGAGGGUGACCGGCCACAUUGGGACUGAGAUACGGCCCGGACUCCUACGGGAGGCAGCAGUGGGGAAUAUUGAACAAUGGGCGGAAGCAUGAUGCAGCAACGCCGCGUGCGGGAUGACGGCCUUCGGGUGGUAAACCGCUUUCGCCUGUGACGAAGCGUGAGUGACGGUAAUGGGUAAAGAAGCACCGGCUACUUACGU